rnacentral:ribozyme from 14 species
AAAGAAAAAAGGAAAGGAAAAAAAUGUUCCAGCUUGAUAUGAUUAUUUAUUUAUUUAUUUAUUUAUAU